rnacentral:rRNA from 1 species
CACAUGCAAGUCGAGGGGCAGCGGGAUUGAAGCUUGCUUCAAUUGCCGGCGACCGGCGCACGGGUGAGUAACGCGUAUCCAACCUUCCGUACACUCAGGGAUAGCCUUUCGAAAGAAAGAUUAAUACCUGAUGGUAUGAUGAGAUUGCAUGAUAGCAUCAUUAAAGAUUCAUCGGUGUACGAUGGGGAUGCGUUCCAUUAGGUAGUAGGCGGGGUAACGGCCCACCUAGCCUACGAUGGAUAGGGGUUCUGAGAGGAAGGUCCCCCACAUUGGAACUGAGACACGGUCCAAACUCCUACGGGAGGCAGCAGUGAGGAAUAUUGGUCAAUGGACGAGAGUCUGAACCAGCCAAGUAGCGUGAAGGAUGAAGGUCCUACGGAUUGUAAACUUCUUUUAUAAGGGAAUAAAACCUCCCACGUGUGGGAGCUUGUAUGUACCUUAUGAAUAAGCAUCGGCUAACUCCGUGCCAGCAGCCGCGGUAAUACGGAGGAUGCGAGCGUUAUCCGGAUUUAUUGGGUUUAAAGGGAGCGCAGACGGGUCGUUAAGUCAGCUGUGAAAGUUUGGGGCUCAACCUUAAAAUUGCAGUUGAUACUGGCGUCCUUGAGUGCGGUUGAGGUGUGCGGAAUUCGUGGUGUAGCGGUGAAAUGCUUAGAUAUCACGAAGAACUCCGAUUGCGAAGGCAGCACACUAAGCCGUAACUGACGUUCAUGCUCGAAAGUGUGGGUAUCAAACAGGAUUAGAUACCCUGGUAGUCCACACGGUAAACGAUGGAUACUCGCUGUUGGCGAUAUACUGUCAGCGGCUUAGCGAAAGCGUUAAGUAUCCCACCUGGGGAGUACGCCGGCACGGUGAAACUCAGAGGAAUUGACGGGGGCCCGCACAAGCGGAGGAACAUGUGGUUUAAUU